rnacentral:tRNA from 1 species
GUCUGGUGGUGUAGUUGGUUAUCACACUAGUCUUAUAGACUGGAGGUCCCAAUUUCAAACUUGGGCUCAGACA